ensembl:lncRNA
AGCUAGGUGGAGAGAUCCUGAAUAUGGGGAAAAAAUAUUAGUCUAGAGCUUUAGAGAAAGGUUGGAGCUAGAGAUAGACGUUUUGGAGGAUUCUUUUUUUUUAAAGAUUUUAUUUUUUCCUUUUUCUCCCCAAAGCCCCCCAGUACAUAGUUGUAUAUUCUUCGUUGUGGGUCCUUCUAGUUGUAGCAUGUGGGACGCUGCCUCAGCGUGGUUUGAUGAGCAGUGCCAUGUCGGUGCCCAGGAUUCGAACCAACGAAACACUGGGCUGCCUGCAGCGGAGCGCACAGACUUAACCACUCGGCCACGGGGCCAGCCCCCAUUUUGGAGGAUUCUUAAUCAAGAUGAUGAAGUGUGAGGGUAGAUAAGAUUGUUAAGAGGGUGGUGGUGGAGAAGAGAACCUAGCUGAAGGAAAACUUUGAGGAAUACUGAGUUAGGAUAUCCAAUAAAAAAGAUUCUUCUGCAAAAUAGAGGAUCAGAGAAAAAAAGCUAAAAAGGAAGUUGCAGUAACAGCCCUCAAUUCAGCUGAAGGCCAGAGAAAGCGUGGACAACUCAAGAGACUCUGGUAAUUAAUGAGUCAUCAAGAAAUCACCAAUGAGCAGCUUCGGUUAGUUUGGGGUGGAGAGUGGAAGUCAAGAUGCAAAAGAGUUGGAGUCAGUGGGUGAUGAAGAAUUAGCAACAAGCCGUGAAGGAAACUCUUUCUAUCAUUUGGGUAGGAAAAGAAUAGAGAGGGCUCAGCUGAAACAGCACUGAUGAACAUAGAUGGAAUGUCACAGCAGCAGGUGAGUCCUGAAAUACUACUUGAGGGUGGGGUUUCCUGUAUGUCCUUGGACCCCGGCCUUCCCUCACUCAGACAGCUCAGCCUUGCAGUAUUUAUGGCCUCAGGGAAGGGGUGCUGCAGGCAAGUAUUUCUCAGGGUAUCAUCAAUACCUUUGGAGGAAUACAAGGCUCUCUGGUUUUGUGAUGAGAUAAAGAGCUCCUGGCUGAGGGAGGAGGAGGGUCGUAGGGGAAGUGAGAGACUUUGGACUCAAGACUGCAAGAUCAAUUCUUACUUGAAUUGCCAGCCUGCCAGCCUGCUCUACAAAUUUUCAACUUGACAGUCCCCACAAUCGCAUGAGCCAAGUUUUAAAAAUAAAUCUCUCUCUCUCCCGUAUAUGUGUAUGUAUACAUGUAAAGAUAUAGGAUAUCUACAUAUAUACAUAUCCUCAUCUAUCCUGUGGGGUUCUGUUUCUAUGGAAAACCCUGACUAAUGCAAGCUCUUUAAAACUUCCAGAGGGGUUCAGGUAACCUGAAAGCAGUGGAGAGUUUCCUAGGUAUAAGACUCCAGAGAAGAAGUGGUAACUGAAGUGAGGGAAGUAGGAGUGGCAGGACAAUGGUGAAUUAGGGGCCCAAGCUCCUUCUAAAAGGGUUGACUUUUACUCAACCCUAAACAAGGGUUGCCAUGUGGGAAUGGAGUCUGGUGUUAUCAGAUAAUGUGAUUAAUUACGAGAAGCCAAACUCCACUUUAUUAUGAGAAAUCCCUAUAGGAAGAAUUCUGUAGAAGAGGUGGGCUUUGAGCAUUUCCAAAGAAGUGCAGUCUAUACUGAAGUGUAGGAAAUACUGGGUUUGAAGCCACAUAAAAUAAGCAC